AUGAACGCUGGCGGCGUGCCUAAUACAUGCAAGUCGAGCGAACAGACGAGGAGCUUGCUCCUCUGACGUUAGCGGCGGACGGGUGAGUAACACGUGGAUAACCUACCUAUAAGACUGGGAUAACUUCGGGAAACCGGAGCUAAUACCGGAUAAUAUAUUGAACCGCAUGGUUCAAUAGUGAAAGACGGUUUUGCUGUCACUUAUAGAUGGAUCCGCGCCGCAUUAGCUAGUUGGUAAGGUAAUGGCUUACCAAGGCAACGAUGCGUAGCCGACCUGAGAGGGUGAUCGGCCACACUGGAACUGAGACACGGUCCAGACUCCUACGGGAGGCAGCAGUAGGGAAUCUUCCGCAAUGGGCGAAAGCUUGACGGAGCAACGCCGCGUGAGUGAUGAAGGUCUUCGGAUCGUAAAACUCUGUUAUUAGGGAAGAACAAAUGUGUAAGUAACUAUGCACGUCUUGACGGUACCUAAUCAGAAAGCCACGGCUAACUACGUG
rnacentral:rRNA from 1 species